rnacentral:lncRNA from 1 species
GUCCGUCCGUCCGUCUGUCCGUCCGUCGUCCACACUUCGGACAAUAACUCAAAAAUACUUUCACCAAUUUCCAUGAAACUUAAGUGAAUUGUUUAUAUCUAUUGACGUAAGCUCCAUUUCGUUUUUUUUUUUAAUUUCAGAUUUUAAGUUUUGGAUUUAUGGGGCUUUAUUCAUAAAAAAGGGGGGAUUUUCAACACUUCGGACAAUAACUCAUAAAGGCUUUCACCAAUGUCCAUGAAACUUUGGUGAAUUGUUUAUAUCUAUUGAUGUAAGCUCCCUUUCAAUUUUUAUAAAUUUCAGAUUUUAAGUUUUGGAUGAAUGGGACCUUAUUCAUAAAAAAGGGGGAUUUUUAACACUUCGGACAAUAACUCAAAAAGGCUUUCACCAAUGUCCAUGAAACUUUGGUGAAUUGUUUAUAUCUAUUGAUGUAAGCUCCCUUUCAAUUUUUAUAAAUUUCAGAUUUUAAGUUUUGGAUUUAUGGGGCUUUAUUCAUAAAAGAAGGGG